AUUGAACGCUGGCGGCAUGCCUUACACAUGCAAGUCGAACGGUAACGCGCCUUCGGGUGCCGACGAGUGUCGAACGGGUGAGUAAUACAUCGGAACGUGCCCGAUCGUGGGGGAUAACGAGGCAAAAGCUUUGCUAAUACCGCAUACGAUCUACGGAUGAAAGCAGUGGACCGCAAGGCCUUGCGCGGACGGAGCGGCCGAUGGCAGAUUAGGUAGUUGGUGGGAUAAAAGCUUACCAAGCCGACGAUCUGUAGCUGGUCUGAGAGGAUGAUCAGCCACACUGGGACUGAGACACGGCCCAGACUCCUACGGGAGGCAGCAGUGGGGAAUUUUGGACAAUGGGCGCAAGCCUGAUCCAGCAAUGCCGCGUGCAGGAUGAAGGUCUUCGGGUUGUAAACUGCUUUUGUACGGAACGAAAAGCCUUCUUUUAAUACAGGAGGGUCAUGACGGUACCGUAAGAAUAAGCACCGGCUAACUACGUG
rnacentral:rRNA from 1 species